rnacentral:rRNA from 1 species
AUGUUAGCCAUGCCACAAGCAGUGCUUCUCCUUGCUGUCUCCUGUGCUGCGGUCCUCGCUGCUGGUGUCUCCGGCCAGCCGGUGUCGCCAGCAGCAGAGCGGACCAACUGUCCUGCAAAGUGCGGGGACGUAGAGAUCCACUACCCAUUCGGCGUCGGCCCUGGGUGCUCCGUGGACGCCGGCUUCGAGGUCACCUGCAACGAGACGACGACCCCUCCGAGCCUGCAGUUGGGCAACAUCAUUAUCGCCAACAUCACAUUGGAGAAGGCGCAGAUGGUGGUCUACACCUUCCUGACCUACAGCUGCCGCGUGCCGGGCAGCAACAAUACAGUGGACACGCAGACGAAUAGCAUGGAACUCAGCGUCAGCACCCCGUUCCUGGUGUCGCCGUCGGACAACGUGUUCACGUCCGUCGGGUGUAAUUCAUUGGCCCAGCUCGUUGGCCACAGCGGCACCUACUACCACACCGGCUGCAUCACCACGUGUGCUAGCGUGAACGAAACGGCAGAUGACGGCGCACCCUGCAGCGGGCACGGCUGCUGCGAGGCGUCAAUAAUGCCCGGCCUCUUCCUAGUCAACGUGAGUUGGUCCGACAGGGCGGAGGAGAGCGACUAUCAUGUGCCUGGCAACUUGUGCCAAUAUGCCUUCGUCGCCACCAAAGGCUGGUACAAAUUCAGAAAAAAUGACCUAGUUGGAAAUUUGACAUUCGCCAAGAGAUUUGGAGAGGGCACUGUUGUUCCACUUGUUCUUGACUGGUCAAUUAGCGACGGGAGAUGCCCACCGGUGCCGCAGGGUGUUGACAAGGCAAAUAUUGAUCCCUACGGCGCAUGUGUUAGCACCCAGAGCUACUGCGUUAAUGCUAGCAACAGCGCGACGGGCUAUUUCUGCAACUGCUUCGAGGGAUACACCGGCAAUCCAUACAUAAAAAAUGGAUGCAAGAAUAUUAAUGAGUGCUUAAAUAAGAACAUGUAUCCUUGUCAUGGAGGGAGAUGCCACGAUUUAGAAGGUGAUUACGAGUGCAAAUGCAAUUUUGGACGACGGGAUGACGGUAACAAGGGGUGUGAACCCGUAUUGUCCAAGGCUGCAGUAGCAGUUAUAGGUGAGGCAUUGUAUGUAUGCCCUAUGUAG